rnacentral:lncRNA from 12 species
UAUUACUGUUUUAACUUUUUUUGUUUUGUUUUGUUUUAGAGCAAAAUAGACUAAUUAAAAAAAACAUUGGUUUUGCUGUUUUUUCUUUAUAGCAUUGCAGCACAUGGGUAAGGGUGAUGACGCUAUACGUGAGGCACUUUAUCAUCUUCGAGACCUCAUGGAUUAUGCACAUCUCUUCACAUUUAACAUGAACGUGAUAUACAUACCGAAUGUGCAUAUUGAAAGCGGGGAGAUGUGCAACUGUAAAGAGUUCAUUGCUCAAGAGCUUCUGAAGACGUUAGUUUCAGCAGAAAUCACUGAUCAAGACGCUGCUGCUGAACCACGCACUGCACUUAGACUGUUACAGCACAAUAUCAGAUUUCUCCUUCAGAAUUCGGUGACGAGGUCUUCACUGGGGAUCUGUCUCUGGGGCUCAUCUAGUUGUUCUGGUCUCCGCUGA